rnacentral:rRNA from 1 species
UAGUGGGUGAGGUAACGGCUCACCAAGGCGACGAUCUCUAGCUGGUCUGAGAGGACGACCAGCCACACUGGAAUUGAGACACGGUCCAGACUCCUACGGGAGGCAGCAGUGGGGAAUAUUGCACAAUGGGGGAAACCCUGAUGCAGCCAUGCCGCGUGUGUGAAGAAGGCUUUCGGGUUGUAAAGCACUUUCAGUGGGGAGGAAGGGCUGAUGACUAAUAUUCAUCAGCAUUGACGUUACCCACAGAAGAAGCACCGGCUAACUCCGUGCCAGCAGCCGCGGUAAUACGGAGGGUGCAAGCGUUAAUCGGAAUAACUGGGCGUAAAGCGCACGCAGGCGGUUAGAUAAGUCAGAUGUGAAAGCCCCGGGCUCAACCUGGGAACUGCAUUUGAAACUGUCUGACUAGAGUCUUGUAGAGGGGGGUAGAAUUCCAGGUGUAGCGGUGAAAUGCGUAGAGAUCUGGAGGAAUACCGGUGGCGAAGGCGGCCCCCUGGACAAAGACUGACGCUCAGGUGCGAAAGCGUGGGUAGCAAACAGGAUUAGAUACCCUGGUAGUCCACGCUGUAAACGAUGUCGAUUUGGAGUUUGUGCCAUUAUGAGCGUGGGUUCCGAAGCUAACGCGAUAA